AGUUGCGGCCAUAUCCACUGGAAAGCACGAUUUCCCGUCCGAUCAAUCAUAGUUAAGCCAGUGAGAGCCUUCAUAAGUACUACGGUGGGAGACCACGUGGGAACAUANGGUGCUGCAAUUU
rfam:Nadsonia fulvescens var. elongata DSM 6958 unplaced genomic scaffold NADFTscaffold_10, whole genome shotgun sequence.